rnacentral:rRNA from 1 species
CAGCUCAAAUUUGAAAUCUGGCGGCCUCUGGGCCGUCCGAGUUGUAAUUUGAAGAGGAUGCUUUUGGCGAGGUGCCUUCCGAGUGCCCUGGAACGGGACGCCACAGAGGGUGAGAGCCCCGUAUGGUCGGACACCGAGCCUCUGUAAAGCUCCUUCGACGAGUCGAGUAGUUUGGGAAUGCUGCUCAAAAUGGGAGGUAAACCCCUUCUAAAGCUAAAUACUGGCCAGAGACCGAUAGCGCACAAGUAGAGUGAUCGAAAGAUGAAAAGCACUUUGAAAAGAGAGUUAAAUAGCACGUGAAAUUGUUGAAAGGGAAGCGCUUGCGACCAGACUUGUGCUCGUCGAAUCAGUCGCCCCUCGCGGGCGGCGCACUUCGGCGGGCUCAGGCCAGCAUCAGUUCGCUGCAGGGGGAGAAAGGCGGCGGGAAUGUGGCUCUUCGGAGUGUUAUAGCCCGCCGCGCAAUACCCCUCGGCGGACUGAGGACCGCGCAUCUGCAAGGAUGCUGGCGUAAUGGUCGUCAGCGACCCGUCUU